rnacentral:rRNA from 1 species
AACGAACGCUGGCGGCAGGCUUAACACAUGCAAGUCGAGCGAGACCUUCGGGUCUAGCGGCGGACGGGUGAGUAACGCGUGGGAACGUGCCCUUCUCUACGGAAUAGCCCCGGGAAACUGGGAGUAAUACCGUAUACGCCCCUCGGGGGAAAGAUUUAUCGGAGAAGGAUCGGCCCGCGUUGGAUUAGGUAGUUGGUGGGGUAAUGGCCCACCAAGCCGACGAUCCAUAGCUGGUUUGAGAGGAUGAUCAGCCACACUGGGACUGAGACACGGCCCAGACUCCUACGGGAGGCAGCAGUGGGGAAUCUUAGACAAUGGGGGCAACCCUGAUCUAGCCAUGCCGCGUGAGUGAUGAAGGCCUUAGGGUUGUAAAGCUCUUUCAGCUGGGAAGAUAAUGACGGUACCAGCAGAAGAAGCCCCGGCUAACUCCGUG